rnacentral:tRNA from 1 species
GUUCAAUGGCUCAGGGGUAGAGCAUUUGUUUUGCACGUGGAAGGUCCCAAGUUCAAUUCAUGACAUCUGCA